rnacentral:misc_RNA from 1 species
GGUUUGGGUUUUCUAGUUUAUGGCCCUAUAGGGGAGAGUUGCUAUCAUUGGGCCGGCUCCUUCGAUGAGCCACCUCCAUUAUUUUGUUGUUAUUAACAGUAAGCGCUAUCUAUUGACUGUUUACUAUACUACAUGAAGCUUGAAAAUCGCCAUCUUGACUGUGAGUUGAUCCACGCACAAACAAGGUUCCUAUACAAGAAAAUAUAAAGUCGUGGUCAUCAUGUCGAUCGUUCAGAAAUUAGGACAAGGCGUACGAAUUGAUUUUAGCAAGUUAUGGGAUAUUGAAAGGGACACAUAUUCAACUCAUGUGAUCGAGACGCAGGAAUUUUCUGCGAUAGGCCUCGUCGUGGGACUUUAUUACGAGUAAACAUAAGGAGAUUGAAGAAUAAUCAUUAUUUUCUCUGAUGAUCAUUAUUUUUUUCGAAGAAUAAACCAUUGAUUCUAGAUGAAAAAAGAGA